rnacentral:rRNA from 1 species
GAUGAACGCUGGCGGCGUGCUUAACACAUGCAAGUCGAACGGAAAGGCUCCUGCUUGCAGGGGUACUCGAGUGGCAAACGGGUGAGUAACACGUGGGUGAUCUGCCCUGCACUUCGGGAUAAGCCUGGGAAACUGGGUCUAAUACCGGAUAGGACGAUGGUUUGGAUGCCAUUGUGGAAAGUUUUUUCGGUGUGGGAUGAGCUCGCGGCCUAUCAGCUUGUUGGUGGGGUAAUGGCCUACCAAGGCGUCGACGGGUAGCCGGCCUGAGAGGGUGUACGGCCACAUUGGGACUGAGAUACGGCCCAGACUCCUACGGGAGGCAGCAGUGGGGAAUAUUGCACAAUGGGCGCAAGCCUGAUGCAGCGACGCCGCGUGGGGGAUGACGGCCUUCGGGUUGUAAACUCCUUUCGCUAGGGACGAAGCGCAAGUGACGGUACCUGGAGAAGAAGCACCGGCUAACUACGUG